rnacentral:tmRNA from 2 species
GGGGGCGUAACGGUUUCGACGGGGAUGACCACGUUCGAGCUGCGCGCCGUGGCGCCCCUGGCCACGUAAAAAGGGGCAAACCAUGCAACUGCGAACGAUAACGCUGUUGCUCUCGCUGCCUGAUUAAACACCAGGUAACGACGGUGACCUGAGCUUCCGUCUGUAGCCCAGGCUCACCGACACAAUCAGACUGGACCUCCUGACCCGCUGGCGCAUGGAGGUCGAGACAUAGUCAGCUGCUCACACCGCGAGGCCGCCCUCCGCCGCUCGGUGUGAAAAGCCCAAACGGAGCGGCUACGCGCGAAGACGCUCGUCCCGAAGCAUUCUCGGACCCGGGUUCGACUCCCGGCGCCUCCACUU